GGCUACUAUGUAGUAUGAGGAUUGUAGUGUUGUUAAAAUAAAUUGUAGAUUUGGGAAGGCUCAACUAAUUUAUUGCUGUGCAGACAGAACAUUACUAGAUGCUGGGAAAAAUAAACUGUAGAAAAUUACGAGCCGACAUACGUGUUCUGUAAUUAAAAAGCUUCAGCUGCAUAAGUGUAAAACUAGUUAGAGAUCCUACCUUAUUGAAUGUUAGCUAUGCUUAAUAAUAUGGCCUUCUAAGUUCUAUCACAAUGUUACCUCUUCAGCUGUAUAAUAGCCGUCAAGCUUGUAUUGUAUUCCCCAAAAGUGCCAACUUGUAAACCCUACCUGAUGGACGUCAUAUACUGCUGGUCAAAGGGCGCCACCUUCGGAGAGGUGACAGAAAUGACUGACAUUUUUGAAGGAAGCAUCAUAUGGCUAGUUAGGAGGCUGGAUGAAUUUCUGAAUCAGCUAAAAGCUGCUGCUGAAGCUGUUGGGGAGGUCAACCUUGAGAGUUUGCCAGCUAAAAGCUGCUGAAGCUUCUUGUUUCCCUUGCAUUUGUUAACUUGCACAGGGCAUGAUUGCUCUAUUGUCUAUUGUCUAGAAAAACUGAUCGCCUACCUGGGUGGCAUCUGCAUCGUGCUUGCCAGAUUAUUUGUGUGGUCAAAUGAAAUGGUGAGUGGUAUUAAAAUGCUCAUGUAGACAGUGUUUAAGCAUUAGAAUGGUGUAGAU